GAGACACAUGGGUUUCCUGUUCUCAACUUCUCAUGUUUGAUUUUAAUUCUUUUGCUUUUUGGUUAACCAGAGCUCAGAAUCAAGAUUAAGAAAGUAGUUGAGCACAAAGCAAACAAGGUGAUGUUUGCCCAUAGAUGCCUGAUGAUGAUCAUUUCCUGAAGAGUACAAUGCUGGGUGGAUAUUCUUCUACCUUAGCAGAUGAGAUCGAUGGUAUUUCAAGUGGACAAGAUGAGACACUGACGGGAAAAGAAGCUUUGCCCUCCGAACAGGAAGCCUAGGCUCUAGACUGGGUAUCUCUUAAAGUAAUCAUACUUUUGAUGUGUUUUGUGUGAUCCUCAUAUUCGUUAGUUAGUUAACCCAUAUGCUAUACAUUCCUCUUACGUGCAUUUGAGGAUUGGCUAUGCAUGACCUUAUCAUUUUGGUCAUGACCGUGCAAAGAAAUGAUGGCUCGGCUGUAGGGGCAUAUCAACAGAUGCUAGCUUGAGUUGGUCCUUUGUUCUCAAUGGAUUUGUUAUUAUUAUGCCCUGUCACCCAACAUACAUUGUUCUGGAUUUGCACCUCCUAUUUUAUUCUGUUGUACUGUCCAAGGGCAAGCAAAUAUUGUGGUUAGCAUAUAAGACUAAGUUGUAUUGAAUCUUUAAUAGUUGUCAUAA